GGAGAAGGAAAGCCGAAUCUAGUGUCGUCUAGAGCGGGGGAUUUUUUUAUGGGGUUAAUCGCAAAUAUUGCGAAGGGCUUACACCUUCUUGCCCGAAUCCGUCAACUAACCUCGUAGGCUGAAAAAGGUGAAGAA
rnacentral:sRNA from 2 species